rnacentral:rRNA from 1 species
UACGGAGGAUGCGAGCGUUAUCCGGAAUUAUUGGGUUUAAAGGGUGCGUAGGCGGCCAUUUAAGUCAGCGGUGAAAUUUUGCAGCUUAACUGUAACAGUGCCGUUGAUACUGUUUGGCUAGGAUUUGGUUGUAGUGUGCGGAAUGUGUGGUAUAGCGGUGAAAUGCUUAGAUAUCACACAGAACACCGAUUGCGAAGGCAGCACACUAAGUCAUUAUUGACGCUGAGGCACGAAAGUGUGGGGAUCAAACAGGAUUA